UCUUGUGAAGGUAGUUUGUUAAUGCUUUUUAUCUUAUUUUUUCAACAAUAAGGUCUUUAAAGCUUCUCACCUGGUGGAUGAUAAUGUAAUUAAGCAUGUUUUAUUGUAACAGAAGACUAAAGUAAAAAAUACAUUAAAUCAACUGGACAGUAAAAUCUUUUUUAUGUUUUUCAAAUUUACCUAGUAUAUUAGGGUUCUCCAGAAAGACAAAACCAAUAGGAUGGAUGGAUGGUUGGAUAGAUAGAUACAUAGAUAAGAGAGAUGAUAGAUGGAUGGAUGAGAGGGAAUUUGUUAGGAGAAUUGGUUCACAUAAUGAUUGUGGAAGCUGAGGAGUCCUAUGGUAGGCCAUCUCCAAGCUGGAGACCCUGGAAUGCUGGAGACAUGGCUCAGUCCAAGUCCGAAGUCUUUGGAAUCAGGAAAGUUAAUGUGUAACUUUCAAGGCCAAAUACCUCUGAGAACCCAGGGAGUUGCUGGUGUAAGUCCUGGAAUCCUAAGGCCAAAAGGCCUGAAGUUCUGAUGUCCAAGGGCCGAAGAGUCUCCCAGCUCUAGGAAGGAGAGAGGAGGAAAUUCAUUUGUUUUGUUUUUUUUGUUCUAUCCAGGUCUUCAGCUGAUUGGAUGGUGUCCACCCACAUUUAGAGAGGGAUCUUACCUCAGUUCACUGACUCACACACCAGUCUCUAGAAACACCCUCACAGACACACCCAGAAGUAAUACUUUACCAAGUCUCUAGUUAUUCCUUUAUCCAGUCAAAUUGACACCUAAAAUUAACUAUCACACCCAGUUUAUUCCAUUCCUUCAGAGGAGGUUCUUGGACAAUACAGAAGUGACUGCCUGAGAAGUCCGGAAACUCUUCCAGAAAAAUGGCAACAAGCUCUUCAUAUUUUCUUCAUCUGUAGAACUGAUCCAUAUGCUGCCAUUGCUACCACAGCUCUCACGUGUGAUGUCCAAGCAGGAAGCAGCUCCAUGUGUGAUCUGUGUAUCAGCUGUCAAUCUGCUACGCUGGUCUCCAGGAAUCUAGUCAGAUUCAAACCUGCUCCAUGUGUUUCAUCAUUCUGGAACCUGGGACCUGGAAGUGCUCUUCUUAUGAAGAUCACAGGAAAGCAGAUGAGUAAACCAAACUGUGCAAGCACACUUAAGCCCUCUGCUGCAACAUGUUUGCUAAUACUCAAUUCAAUAUUAUUGAAAACGAGUAAGGAAACAACAUGACAGAAUAUGAUUUGAAUGUUUGGAAUCUUGGGAUCUGACCCAAAUACUUUAACAAAAUUAGUUCUUUAUUUUACUGAAGUGGUAUUAAUUUUUUGUCAGAUAUAUG
rnacentral:lncRNA from 10 species